rnacentral:pre_miRNA from 1 species
UAUAUACUCCCUUCGUCCCAAAAUAAGUGACUCAAAAAAUGACUCAACUUUGUACUGAAGUUAGUGCAAAGUUGAGUCAUUUUUAAGUCAUUUAUUUUGAGACGGAGGGAGUAUAUA